rfam:Termite gut metagenome tgut2b_Contig35248, whole genome shotgun sequence.
UCCACCGCGAGAUGGAAUCUGAAGGAAGCCGGAGGCAAAGUUCCGGGCCGACGAACAGAAACCGCAUAUAAGGCGUUGCAAGGCGGAUAAGUUUCCAAAACAAAACAAAGUCCCAAAAGACCGGCCUGUUAUAAUGACCUCCGGUCUUACUGCCCGAACCUUGCGAUGUAAAUGCGGCGGCUAUAAGGAAUGAAGGUUACCGAC